UAACACCUCUAAUCUUCGGCACUUAUAUGACCUUAUUGUGUUGCCAGUGCCGUAAAACUCUUACUAAAACUAAAUUUGAUGCAAAGGGUUUUCAUGACAAGACAGGCAAGAACAAGUUUCCAUAUAUUAUAUUGAUUCAACAAAUGUACUGUACGGCAGAAGUCAGUGUCAGUGACCAAAAACUCUUCCUGUCGGUCUCAGUAAAACAAAAACGAGCCUGUCCCUUUGAGAAUGAGCCAGUUAUUCCCCCCCCCGUGUUUGCAUUUACAGUGUGUUGUGUAGGAUAUGAGAGUUGUGUACAACAGUGUGUAAGUUGCUAUUUUGUUUUUUUAGGAUGCUAGAGUGACGGAGCUUUGUUGAUGGGAUUUAUUGAUCAAAUCCACUCUAGCGGGGGUACAGUAGUGCGGAAGUGACUACGUCUGAGCUCUUUCUGGUGUGGAGUUUGACACCAGGUGUCCCAACCUCUCCUUUCUUGUGGUGGGAGCUGUCUUGUGUUUGGCUCGGCGGUCUGAGUCGCAGAAUUGUACGCUGUGUUUGAGGAAUCAACAGCAGCAAAAUUCUAUGUGGGAAAACCUUUUUUGGAUUGUUUUCCAAAAUGUAGCAACAAGUCUUUGUAAGUUUUUAGUUGACUGCUUUUGUACAGUUGUUUGCUUUGGGGGUUAGAGGUGCAGGCGCGGGGGUUGGAGGUGCAGGCGCGCUGCUCUGUCUUCCAUUUUGUGUACACGAUGGUAUGUUGUCCAUGGCUCAUCUCAUGAAUAAAUUCUUAUUUAUUUGCCACAA